rnacentral:rRNA from 1 species
AUACGGAGGGUGCAAGCGUUGUUCGGAAUUACUGGGCGUAAAGCGCGUGUAGGCGGCUUGGCAAGUCGGAUGUGAAAGCCCGGGGCUCAACCCCGGAACUGCAUCCGAAACUGCCUCGCUAGAGUCCCGGAGAGGAAGGCAGAAUUCCCAGUGUAGGGGUGAAAUCCGUAGAUAUUCGGAGGAAUACCAGUGGCGAAGGCGGCCUUCUGGACGGUGACUGACGCUCAGACGCGAAAGCGUGGGGAGCAAACAGGAUUAGAUACCCCAGUAGUCC